rnacentral:rRNA from 1 species
UACGGGGGGGGCAAGCGUUGUUCGGAAUUACUGGGCGUAAAGGGCUCGUAGGUGGCCAACUAAGUCAGACGUGAAAUCCCUCGGCUUAACCGGGGAACUGCGUCUGAUACUGGAUGGCUUGAGUUCGGGAGAGGGAUGCAGAAUUCCAGGUGUAGCGGUGAAAUGCGUAGAUAUCUGGAGGAACACCUAUGGCGAAGGCAGCUCUCUGGGACGGUACUGACGCUGAGACGCGAAAGCGUGGGGAGCGAACAGG